GUACGAGUCACAAACGAUCGGAGCCUACCACGGUGGAAGGCCACGAAAGAGUGUUCAAAGCACUCUCAUGCUUCUCAACUUAAUAAUGGUUUGGUUGAGGGUUUUUAGGUCUCAUCACAUAUAAAUAUUCAUUUUAAUCUUUAUUAAAACAAUUUUGGUCCUAUUACAGCUAUUGGUCCAUUUGAUUGAAUUUAGUUGUAUAUAAUACUCCCACUAUGCUUAUAAAACGGUUUUUAAAGCAAGAGUAUAUGAUACUACUAACAUAAACUUUGCAUUCAUUUGAUGGACUAUAUAGUUGCCUUAGGGCCUUAGGAUGACUAUGAACCUUUGUUUAGAUUCAACACAAGCCUAGUGUUGAAUCUCGGUCUAGGGAUGGUGAUUGAUUUUAGUUACGCGUUUAAUCACAUUAAGGCGUGUUGUCUUAGGGGCGUUGGACCCUCUAUUCCAUUUUCAUGCAGAUCAAAUAAUACAAGAAAGGAGUACUUCAAAGUAAAGGUGAGCUUAUGCUCAUUACAACAUUUGCAUAAAUCAAAUUACUUUAAAGUAAAGAAGAGCUUAUGCUCUUUUACAACAUUUGAUCAAAUCAAAUUAUAACCAAAAUCUAAUCUACACAUUCCCAUGGUUCAAACAAAUUUGAAACGGCAUUUCACAUAGCUCAAUUAUCGUAGGCUUAGGUUCAUAAUCACCCUUUAAUUAAUUAACACUUUAACUAAUUAAUUUUGAAUGCAACAUUUUCAUUUGGUUUUUGUAUCCAUAAAAUUGAUUUAAAUGGAGCUAAAUGAAAUGAA
rnacentral:lncRNA from 1 species